AUUGAACGCUGGCGGCGUGCUUAACACAUGCAAGUCGAUCGGUAACGCGGGGGCAACCCUGGCGACGAGAGGCGGACGGGUGAGGAACGCUUGGGAAUCUGCCUAUCAGCGGGGGACAACCCGGGGAAACUCGGGCUAAUACCGCAUACGCUCUACGGAGGAAAGCCGGGGACCGCAAGGCCUGGCACUGAUAGAUGAGCCCAAGUCGGAUUAGCUAGUUGGCGGGGUAACGGCCCACCAAGGCGACGAUCCGUAGCUGGUCUGAGAGGACGAUCAGCCACACUGGGACUGAGACACGGCCCAGACUCCUACGGGAGGCAGCAGUGGGGAAUAUUGGACAAUGGGGGAAACCCUGAUCCAGCGACGCCGCGUGGGUGAAGAAGGCCUGCGGGUUGUAAAGCCCUUUCGGUAGGGACGAAGGCUCUCGACCUAACACGUCGGGAGGUUGACUUAACCUACAAAAGAAGCACCGGCUAACUCUGUGCCAGCAGCCGCGGUAAUAC
rnacentral:rRNA from 1 species